GCUGCAUAAAGCUUGAUUUAUGGUUCUGCGCAGGCUCCACGCAAAGCUUUCGCCGUAGCCUACGUAAGUGGCCUGACGUUUAUACUUGCGCGCUGGUGUGUACGUCGAGCCGGCGUGUGUUUGUGUAGGGAUUGUGUG